rnacentral:rRNA from 1 species
CCUACGGGAGGCAGCAGUGGGGAAUAUUGCACAAUGGGGGAAACCCUGAUGCAGCGACGCCGCGUGAGUGAAGACGUAUUUCGGUAUGUAAAGCUCUAUCAGCAGGGAAGAAAAUGACGGUACCUGUUUAAGAAGCCCCGGCUAACUACGGGCCAGCAGCCGCGGUAAUACGUAGGGGGCAAGCGUUAUCCGGAUUUACUGGGUGUAAAGGGAGCGUAGACGGCAGCACAAGUCUGAAGUGAAAUGCCGGGGCUUAACCCCGGAACUGCCUUGGAUACUGUGCAGCUAGAGCGCAGUAGCGGUAGGUGGAAUGCAUGGUGUAGCGGUGAAAUGCGUAGAGAUCAGAAAGAACACCGAUGGCGAAGGCAGCUUACUAAGCU